UGUAGCGAGAUUUUCUGUUGUGCUUGAUCUAACCAUGUGGUUGCAAGGUAUGAGUAAAACAUGGUUCCGUCAAGCACCAUGGAACGUCACGCAGCU
rnacentral:pre_miRNA from 13 species